GAUGAACGCUGGCGGCGUGCCUAACACAUGCAAGUCGAGCGAAGCACUUACUUUAGAUUUCUUCGGAAUGACGAAGUUUGUGACUGAGCGGCGGACGGGUGAGUAACGCGUGGGCAACCUGCCCUGUACGGGGGGAUAACAGUUAGAAAUGACUGCUAAUACCGCAUAAGCCCACAGCUUCGCAUGAAGCAGUGGGAAAAACUCCGGUGGUACAGGAUGGGCCCGCGUCUGAUUAGCUAGUUGGUAAGGUAACGGCUUACCAAGGCGACGAUCAGUAGCCGACCUGAGAGGGUGACCGGCCACAUUGGGACUGAGACACGGCCCAAACUCCUACGGGAGGCAGCAGUGGGGAAUAUUGCACAAUGGGGGAAACCCUGAUGCAGCGACGCCGCGUGAGCGAUGAAGUAUUUCGGUAUGUAAAGCUCUAUCAGCAGGGAAGAAAGUGACGGUACCUGACUAAGAAGCCCCGGCUAACUACGUG
rnacentral:rRNA from 1 species